rnacentral:rRNA from 1 species
UCGAGAAUCAUUCACAAUGGGCGAAAGCCUGAUGGUGUGACGCCGCGUGGAGGAUGACGGUCUUCGGAUUGUAAACUCCUGUCAAGUGGGAGUAAAGCUUGGUGUUAACUGCAUCCAAGUCUGAGAGUACCACUAGAGGAAGAGACGGCUAACUCUGUGCCAGCAGCCGCGGUAAUACAGAGGUCUCAAGCGUUGUUCGGAAUCACUGGGCGUAAAGGGUGCGUAGGCUGUGUUGUAAGUCAGAGGUGAAAUCCCGGGGCUCAACCUCGGAACUGCCUCCGAUACUGCAAGACUUGAGGACUGGAGAGGAGAUUGGAAUUCAUGGUGGAGCAGUGAAAUGCGUAGAUAUCAUGAGGAACGCUAGUGGCGUAGGCGAAUCUCUGGACAGUUCCUGACGCUGAGGCACGAAGGCCAGGGGAGCAAACG